GUGAGGGGGCGUGGUCUGAGCCGAAGGGGGAGUGACCGGGUGUGGCGGGGCGGGGUCUGACCCUGAGGGGCGUGGCCUGGCCGUGAGGAGACGUGGCCGGACUGUGAGGGGGCCGGCGCCGGGACCGGCACUGGUACUGGGCUGCUCUGUUGGAUCGUGGAUCGCUGCCCUCAGCGCGGAGCCCGCCGCACUGAGAGCACUCCCGGUGUCCCCCAGAGCACGGCCCGCCACUGCUGUGCAGAUGCUGCUGAGUGAAGUUGUGACAGAGCUCGACCACAGAGAGCAGCGAAUCCGAGUGGGACGAGACCUGAGCAAAUGAGAAUCCUGCUCCCCGGUGGAAGAGAGAUCACCUUAUAUGGGAACAUCACGGACAAGAGGAUGAACGCCCAGCCGGGCUGCUGAGACAGUUGUCUAGCCACUUCUCACAGACUCUGACAGGAGGGGACGAUGUUAACAGCUCAGGAAGUACCAGUGUGAAGGAAGUGGCUCACAAAAGCAACAGGAUCUGGGAUGCAGCAGAAAAUACUGUACCAAUGCAGGCAAGUCUUCAGUUAUUGUCAGUUCAA